rnacentral:rRNA from 1 species
CCUACGGGUGGCAGCAGUGAGGAAUAUUGGUCAAUGGACGAGAGUCUGAACCAGCCAAGUAGCGUGAAGGAUGACUGCCCUAUGGGUUGUAAACUUCUUUUAUAUGGGAAUAAAAUGUUCCACGUGUGGGAUUUUGUAUGUACCAUAUGAAUAAGGAUCGGCUAACUCCGUGCCAGCAGCCGCGGUAAUACAGAGGAUCCGAGCGUUAUCCGGAUUUAUUGGGUUUAAAGGGAGCGUAGGUGGAUUGUUAAGUCAGUUGUGAAAGUUUGCGGCUCAACCGUAAAAUUGCAGUUGAAACUGGCAGUCUUGAGUACAGUAGAGGUGGGCGGAAUUCGUGGUGUAGCGGUGAAAUGCUUAGAUAUCACGAAGAACUCCGAUUGCGAAGGCAGUUCACUGGACUGCAACUGACACUGAGGCUCGAAAGUGUGGGUAUCAAACAGGAUUAGAUACCCAUGUAGUC